rnacentral:rRNA from 1 species
GGUUAAGCGACUAAGCGUACACGGUGGAUGCCCUGGCAGUCAGAGGCGAUGAAGGACGUGCUAAUCUGCGAUAAGCGUCGGUAAGGUGAUAUGAACCGUUAUAACCGGCGAUUUCCGAAUGGGGAAACCCAGUGUGAUUCGUCACACUAUCAUUAACUGAAUCCAUAGGUUAAUGAGGCGAACCGGGGGAACUGAAACAUCUAAGUACCCCGAGGAAAAGAAAUCAACCGAGAUUCCCCCAGUAGCGGCGAGCGAACGGGGAGCAGCCCAGAGCCUGAAUCAGUGUGUGUGUUAGUGGAAGCGUCUGGAAAGGCGUGCGAUACAGGGUGACAGCCCCGUACACAAAAAUGCACAUACUGUGAGCUCGAUGAGUAGGGCGGGACACGUGGUAUCCUGUCUGAAUAUGGGGGGACCAUCCUCCAAGGCUAAAUACUCCUGACUGACCGAUAGUGAACCAGUACCGUGAGGGAAAGGCGAAAAGAACCCCGGCGAGGGGAGUGAAAAAGAACCUGAAACCGUGUACGUACAAGCAGUGGGAGCACGCUUAGGCGUGUGACUGCGUACCUUUUGUAUAAUGGGUCAGCGACUUAUAUUCUGUAGCAAGGUUAACCGAAUAGGGGAGCCGAAGGGAAACCGAGUCUUAACUGGGCGUUAAGUUGCAGGGUAUAGACCCGAAACCCGGUGAUCUAGCCAUGGGCAGGUUGAAGGUUGGGUAACACUAACUGGAGGACCGAACCGACUAAUGUUGAAAAAUUAGCGGAUGACUUGUGGCUGGGGGUGAAAGGCCAAUCAAACCGGGAGAUAGCUGGUUCUCCCCGAAAGCUAUUUAGGUAGCGCCUCGUGAAUUCAUCUCCGGGGGUAGAGCACUGUUUCGGCAAGGGGGUCAUCCCGACUUACCAACCCGAUGCAAACUGCGAAUACCGGAGAAUGUUAUUACGGGAGACACACGGCGGGUGCUAACGUCCGUCGUGAAGAGGGAAACAACCCAGACCGCCAGCUAAGGUCCCAAAGUCAUGGUUAAGUGGGAAACGAUGUGGGAAGGCCCAGACAGCCAGGAUGUUGGCUUAGAAGCAGCCAUCAUUUAAAGAAAGCGUAAUAGCUCACUGGUCGAGUCGGCCUGCGCGGAAGAUGUAACGGGGCUAAACCAUGCACCGAAGCUGCGGCAGCGACGCUUAUGCGUUGUUGGGUAGGGGAGCGUUCUGUAAGCCUGUGAAGGUGUGCUGUGAGGUAUGCUGGAGGUAUCAGAAGUGCGAAUGCUGACAUAAGUAACGAUAAAGCGGGUGAAAAGCCCGCUCGCCGGAAGACCAAGGGUUCCUGUCCAACGUUAAUCGGGGCAGGGUGAGUCGACCCCUAAGGCGAGGCCGAAAGGCGUAGUCGAUGGGAAACAGGUUAAUAUUCCUGUACUUGGUGUUACUGCGAAGGGGGGACGGAGAAGGCUAUGUUGGCCGGGCGACGGUUGUCCCGGUUUAAGCGUGUAGGCUGGUUUUCCAGGCAAAUCCGGAAAAUCAAGGCCGAGGCGUGAUGACGAGGCACUACGGUGCUGAAGCAACAAAUGCCCUGCUUCCAGGAAAAGCCUCUAAGCAUCAGGUAACAUCAAAUCGUACCCCAAACCGACACAGGUGGUCAGGUAGAGAAUACCAAGGCGCUUGAGAGAACUCGGGUGAAGGAACUAGGCAAAAUGGUGCCGUAACUUCGGGAGAAGGCACGCUGAUACGUAGGUGAAGCGACUUGCUCGUGGAGCUGAAAUCAGUCGAAGAUACCAGCUGGCUGCAACUGUUUAUUAAAAACACAGCACUGUGCAAACACGAAAGUGGACGUAUACGGUGUGACGCCUGCCCGGUGCCGGAAGGUUAAUUGAUGGGGUUAGCGCAAGCGAAGCUCUUGAUCGAAGCCCCGGUAAACGGCGGCCGUAACUAUAACGGUCCUAAGGUAGCGAAAUUCCUUGUCGGGUAAGUUCCGACCUGCACGAAUGGCGUAAUGAUGGCCAGGCUGUCUCCACCCGAGACUCAGUGAAAUUGAACUCGCUGUGAAGAUGCAGUGUACCCGCGGCAAGACGGAAAGACCCCGUGA